rnacentral:tRNA from 1 species
ACUAAUUUGGCAAAGUUAAUGCAUUAAAUUUAGAAUUUAAUUAUGUAAUUAUUUUACAUUUAGUA